rnacentral:lncRNA from 1 species
CAAUAUGCAACAAGGAUAUGUCUUCCUUGUAUUUGAAGCUUGGAAGGAAAAUCUACUUCAUGGAUUAUUGAUGGUUUCUACCUACUAAUUACUCUUGGAGGACCCAUUAUAAUCAAUAUUUUGAUGAUAAGUUCGACCGACAUCCGCUACCUAAAGAAUUAAGUGAAGUGGAAGUUUUAGAAUAACUUGAAGCCAUUGAAAAUAUGAAAUUUAAAAAAAUAUCGAAUACUCGCAAACGGAAGCGUACUGAAGCUGAGCUGAAUUGGACCAAACAACACAUAUUUCUCGAACUGCC